rnacentral:rRNA from 1 species
GGUUGGCUCAGAAGCAGCCAUCCUUUAAAGAGUGCGUAACAGCUCACUAGUCGAAUGACUCUGCGCCGAUAAUUUACCGGGGCUAAGCAUACUACCGAAGCUAUGGAUCCCAAGGGAUGGUAGGGGAGCGUUCCAUGAACGGAGAAGUACGACCGAAAGGACGUGUGGAGAUCAUGGAAGAGAGAAUGCCGGUGUGAGUAGCGGAACGUGGGUGAGAAUCCCACGCACCGAAAACCCAAGGUUUCCAGAGGAAGGUUCGUCCGCUCUGGGUAAGUCGGGACCUAAGGCGAGGCCGAAAGGCGUAGUCGAUGGACAACAGGUAGAGAUUCCUGUACCCGUAUAUAUGUGAAGGAAUGACGGAGAGAGGAAGCUGCAGCCAGCGGCUGGAAGAGCUGGUGCAAGCGAGAUAUCGGGAUGGCAGGCAAAUCCACCAUCCGAAACGAGAAGGCGUGAAGCGUACGGAAAGCUACGGCGAGUACGGAAGGCAGUGGAGGAACUUCCAAGAAAAGUUUCUAACGUUAAGUAUAUAUGGCCCGUACCGAAAAUGGACACACAUGGGUGAGGAGAGAAUCCUAAGGUGAGCGAGAGAACUAUAGCUAAGGAACUCUGCAAAAUGACUCCGUAACUUAGGGAGAAGGAGUGCUCAUAGAGAUAUGAGCCGCAGUGAAACGGCCCAAGCGACUGUUUACCAAAAACACAGCUCUCUGCUAAGCCGCAAGGCGAAGUAUAGGGGGUGACGCCUGCCCGGUGCUGGAAGGUUAAGGGGAGGGGUUAACGCAAGUGAAGCCCUGAACUGAAGCCCCAGUAAACGGCGGCCGUAACUAUAACGGUCCUAAGGUAGCGAAAUUCCUUGUCAGGUAAGUUCUGACCCGCACGAAAGGCGUAACGAUUUGGGCGCUGUCUCAGCUGUAGACUCGGUGAAGUCUUAGUACCUGUGAAGAUGCAGGUUACCCGCGACUAGACGGAAAGACCCCAUGGAGCUUCACUGCAGGUUGAUAUUGGGAUUUGAUGCAGCAUGUACAGGAUAGGUAGGAGGCAAAGAGAUGGAUACGCCAGUAUUCAAGGAGCCGCUGUUGGGAUACUACCCCUGUUGUAUUGGAUUUCUAACCGGACGACGUAGAGCCGUUGACGGGACAGUGUCAGUCGGGCAGUUUGACUGGGGCGGUCGCCUCCCAAAGAGUAACGGAGGCGCCCAAAGAUACCCUCAGCUUGGAUGGAAACCAAGCGCAGAGUGCAAAGGCAAAAGGGUGUUUGACUGCGAGACCCACAAGUCGAGCAGGGACGAAAGUCGGGCUUAGUGAUCCGGCGGUGCUGAAUGGAAAGGCCGUCGCUCAACGGAUAAAAGCUACCCUGGGGAUAACAGGCUGAUCUCCCCCAAGAGUUCACAUCGACGGGGAGGUUUGGCACCUCGAUGUCGGCUCAUCGCAUCCUGGAGCUGAAGUCGGUUCCAAGGGUUGGGCUGUUCGCCCAUUAAAGCGGUACGCGAGCUGGGUUCAGAACGUCGUGAGACAGUUCGGUCCCUAUCUGUCGUGGGCGCAGGAAAUUUGAGAAGAGCUGUCCUCAGUACGAGAGGACCGGGAUGGACGCAUCAAUGGUGGACCAGUUGUCACGCCAGUGGCAUAGCUGGGUAGCUAAAUGCGGAAGGGAUAAACGCUGAAGGCAUCUAAGUGUGAAACCCACUUCAAGAUGAGAUUUCCCAUUGC